rnacentral:lncRNA from 1 species
CUUUCUUCUGAUGAGUGAACAGCCUCACCGGAACUUCCCCAUCCUCCUGGCUUGGUUCCUGAAGUGGCCCAAGGCUGCCUUCUCCCUCCCGUGGGUGAACAGGGUCACUGCUUCCUCUCUUGUCCAGGCCCCCUGGCCUGACCCUGAGUCCCGGGCGUAACGGCGUUGUUGAACCACCACAACCCCAGGCGGCGCCUUCCUCUUGGCCCAGGGGCUCUCUUGGGGACAGUGUGCAGUACUCCCCAAGGGGGCUUUGCUGUGCAAAAGCAGCCCCUGCCGAUGCUGCGGCUCCCGUGGAUGGAGCACUGCCGUGGGAACAGAGUUGGAACUCAUCCAAAAGAAUAAAAGACAACUGUGUUGGAAGAUUGCCAAGGUUUGUAGCUGUGCCACCGCAGACUUCAGAGAUGAACACUGCCUUGGAGACGAGGAGGAUUCAAGUUGCAGAAGCAUUUAGAAACCUCAAACUUGAGACACGGUGGGAAAUCAGGAAGACAUGAGGCUUUGCUCAACACUGGAGAACACCAGUUCUUUUCAGUUUGUAUGCAUCUUUAUCAGGUAGACACAAACAAAGAGGCAACAAAGAAAUUAGAAGGUUGUAUAAGAAGCUGCAUAGAAUCACAAUGACUGCGUUGUCCUGAAACCAACCCAGGGGGAGCAUGAACCAAUGAAGUACCACCGUACCUGACCAGGGAGACACAGAUGAGGAAUUGCAAAGGAAAGAUGUGGCUGCAUCAGAGAAGCCUGCUCAAUUUUUUGCAGAAGAUGAAUGAUUAAUUCAUCACCUGCAGUGACACUGGACUUAUUAUCAUUUUGCUUUCUAAGACUGUUUUACAAAUAACUGGUCAGUUAGUUAAGAAACUGGGAAAUAUUCAUUAUAAUAUAGUGAAGAAGUUGGUCCAGAAAUUAGAGAUCUGGCUUCUCCUCUCUAUUUUGUCUUUAGCUAAAGAUAAGCAAAACUUUUUCACUCUCUGGACUUCAAUGUUCUCAUCUUAAAUAAAGGUUUUGGGACAAAAGUGUCUUAAAUUUCUAACCUGAAAAUUCUCUUGCCUUGUGAAGGGUGUAAUAUUUGGAUUUUUAUUUUACUUAUUUUAGCCACACAUUCUGGCAAAUUUCAUUUCAUGGUCUGAAAAAGUGAAGCACUUCUAAGAAAAUAUUUAGAAGAUAGACUAUUUCUGGUGUAAAACAUGGCCAAUAAAACUUAAGCAUAAUCAAAUUCUCUAUAUAUUUUCAUGUUCAACUUGUCUUCUCAAGCUAACUCACCACAGAUCACUCUUUAUGAAGAUAUUUAUCAAUUAAUCAUACACCUCCUGAAUUUUGUGUAAGUGUGAUGCAUGGUAUGUGUAUUAUGAAUUAUUUUCUCUAACCCAGUAGGGAAGCAUGGUAGUGUAGUAUGUGGACUAGGUUCAAAUAUCAACUCUGGCGCUCACUAGCUAUCUUAUCAUGACAAUGGAUUUUAUUGACUCUAAAUCCCAAUUUCUUCAUUUAAUAAAGGAUGAUGAUGAUAUCUGCAUAAUGUAGUAGCCUUUGCAAGGAUUGCAAACAUUAAUGCAGGGCAGGAGAGCGUGCACAUGACUGAGCUCCCGUUAUGUUCCUGGCACUACAGGUCCAUAGUAGGUGCUCAGUCAGCACAGGUCCUUCACCUUCUGCUG